rnacentral:rRNA from 1 species
ACCGUGUACGUACAAGCAGUAGGAGCAGGCUUGUCCUGUGACUGCGUACCUUUUGUAUAAUGGGUCAGCGACUUAUAUUCAGUGGCAAGGUUAACCAUCUAGGGGAGCCGUAGGGAAACCGAGUCUUAACUGGGCGUUCAGUCUCUGGAUAUAGACCCGAAACCAGGUGAUCUAGCCAUGGGCAGGUUGAAGGUUGAGUAACAUCAACUGGAGGACCGAACCGACUAAUGUUGAAAAAUUAGCGGAUGACUUGUGGCUAGGGGUGAAAGGCCAAUCAAACCUGGAGAUAGCUGGUUCUCCCCGAAAGCUAUUUAGGUAGCGCCUCGGACGAAUACUACUGGGGGUAGAGCACUGUUAAGGCUAGGGGGUCAUCCCGACUUACCAACCCUUUGCAAACUCCGAAUACCAGUAAGUACUAUCCGGGAGACACACGGCGGGUGCUAACGUCCGUCGUGGAGAGGGAAACAACCCAGACCGCCAGCUAAGGUCCCAAAUUACUACUAAGUGGGAAACGAUGUGGGAAGGCUCAGACAGCCAGGAUGUUGGCUUAGAAGCAGCCAUCAUUUAAAGAAAGCGUAAUAGCUCACUGGUCGAGUCGGCCUGCGCGGAAGAUGUAACGGGGCUAAGUA